UAAGCAAAUCGAUGAUCAAAUGAUUUACUUUCUGAUGGGCCUCUGCAAUCAUCGGUUUAAACAAAUAUAAUCUUUCAUGCAUCAAAAUUUAAGAAAAACUAGCACUUCAUAUACUUCAUGAGCAAAUAUAACGAAUAACAUGUUUAAAUGAAAAUUUAAUUCAUAUAACAACAACUUCACGUAGGGAUCCUACCUUAAUUUGAAGUGAUAAGAUAGUAUCUACUUGAACGGAACACUCCAAAUCUCAAAUGUAAAAAUGCUUUCUUUAACGGGUUUGUCGUGUGUGCAUGUAUAUUAUCUAAAAUGUCUUGUAACCUAAUUUCAAUUGGAAUUCAUACGUAAACAGGAGUCUAAAACCGUUUAAAAUGAUAGAAUUUGAUUUUCAAGUAUUAGCACUGGGGAUAUGUAUUAGAUAUAUAUAUAUAUAUAUAUAUAAUCAAUCAAAAUAUCAAAUUCCAACUAUCUAGUGAUACUCGUGGCGCUAAAAUUUCAAUUGCUCAAAUAUAACUUCUUUUGAACUUCAAUAACUUAGCCUAGUUUAUCCGAAAUAACUUUUUCUCGAGUACAAAAUUCGUCAUUUAAUAUGAGUUUCGAAAUAAGCCCAAUAUCGAUAUAAAAUUUAUCGCUAGAUGAAUACUUGAUUAUCUGACCGAAAGCUAAAAUUUUGACACAAUGACUUAUUUUUAAACUAGUCCAUUGGUAUCUCAAUUAACAAAAUAUGUCAAGAUGAAAUAAAUGAAAAAUUACCUUCGAUUGCUACAUUUGGUACACACAUAGCAUCAUAUACAGGGAGAGGGUAAACCAGAUGCAAUAUUGACGUAUAAUUAAUACAUGAAAACCACACCAGAAAAUCGGAGAGAAACACAUCAUCAGGUAAAAAGAAAAGCCAGAUCGAAAUUAUUUGGAUCGAAGAAUUCGGUGAAGAUGAACGAAAGAAGUGUAUUAUGGAAGGCGGCUUAUGGAUUGUUUAAAUAGCGAUUUAUAGAGCUAGGUUUUGCUUUGAGUUAAUUUCCCAAAUCGCUAUGAAAUUUUAUACUUAAAA
rnacentral:lncRNA from 1 species